AGAAGGGGUUAUUAAUAACGAAACGUGGGUUCAAAUAUAAUUUAGAAUUUUAUGUACAGUGCCGAUUCGUUCGUUGGGGGCUCAUGAGAUGGGCUGCCUCGAUGGUUAGAUGUUUGCAGAUUGGGGCAAAACCCAACUAAAAAGUAGUGUCCGAGGUACUGUCAAUGUCAAAAUCGAAGGCGCUGUCGCAUCGCAGGUCCUGUAUACAGAACGCUAGGGGCAGGACAGAUACAGCGAGAGUAACUCUGUUAUCGAAGUGUUGCUCAGAAUUCCUCAGGAUUGCUCUGGAUCACUCUGGUUUUCCUGAAGUGUUGCCUGAUACCAGUGAAAAAUAGAGCAGUCUUGCCUGAUUUCCCGCUUCGUAGAGACGUUUCUGAAUGGAUUCGAGCGAAAAGAGUUACUCAGGAUUGCUCAGAGUUGCUCCGGAUUGCACAGUGUCUUGCCCCUAGACAGAACGUUUGUGCAAGUAUAUUAAGUCAAUAAUCAAUAAUUUUUAAAUGCCAGUAUUUUCUCUGUGCGUUGAUACAUACUUUCUGGGGCGGUCUUUAAAUUAGAAAACCAUGAUGCUCCCCUUAUCAAAAGCUCGCAACUUUUUCUUGCUAUAUUUCCAUUUUUUUCAAUAUUUUCUUUUAAUAUUUUUUUUUAAUACUGGUACAAUAAAAUUAGCCCUUUUCAAAUGUUAGUUUAGAAAACUUUAAAAAAAUCUUAAAUAUAGGUAAAAAGUACUAAUUAGAUGAUUUUAUUAUAUUAUGAAAAAGGUCGAACCAACCCUGGGAAUUUUUCUGGGAAAGUGUGAUUCGCUACCAGCCCUGCCCUGCCAACUCAACUUCUCGCCUCUCGGCUCUCGCAAAAGCGCAAACAAAACACAUACAAACCUGUUGAAAUGCCGCAACUGUUGAAUGAUUCAGCACUGCACCACACACUAUUAUUUUCUCCCGUGAGGAAAAUGCGGAAAAUUCACGCAGCUGAGCGUGAAUUUUCCACAUUUUCCGCACACAAAACUGCUAUUCAGAAUUUUUUACCGCUGACGACCGAGCUGACUACAACAAAACUUGGCUGUCAUCGAUACACACUGUUUCGGAAUUACUCAAAAACCCAAGCAAAAACCCUUUUAUUUUCAAACGUCCAGACCAUUGAAAAACAGUAUAUUUCAAUGUUACUGAUACAUUCUAUUGUAAACUAAUGGUUUGAACGCUGAAUCCAACAGUAACAAAGAAUUCAAUUGUUAAUCUAUUGUUUGGGUAUGUAACCAUGGAAUCUAAUGUAAAUCUUUUGUAAUCAUUAAAAAGAAUCAAAUUUUAAAAACACUGUACAAUACAUUCACAAUAGAAAGCAAUGUUAACAUAAGAAUCUGUGGUUUUUCAAUUGUUUUUCCCAUAGCCUUAAUUGUUCGUUUUUAUCCGGGUUAUUCCUUGUAAAUGGAGGAAUAAGUGCACCGAAGACGUCGAGACGAUCCGAGGCAAAUGUGCACUUUUAUCACACUUUUUAGGCGUACCAAAAAAAGUGUGAUAGUCCAAUUUGAGAUGUAUUUAGCUAGGGGCAGGACAGAUACAGCGAGAGUAACUCCACCGACGAAGAUACAGACGGAGCAGUAAUCGUUUUUUUCGGUACCACUUUCAUUUUCACGCUUUGGCAAGCCCCUCUUUCAUUGUGUAAUUGAUCGCUUUGGUGAACCCCUUAAACGGGCGAACUGGGUGAAAUGUCAAGCGACUUGUCAACAACUUUGUUUUUGUUUAUGUGAAAGUGCUCUGCUUUUUGCAACCUCCCCAAACUUGCGUGAAUCCAGCAUCCAACAACACUAAACAUCAAGUCGGUCGGAACACCGGGAAAAAUAGAGCCUCCGGAGAGUUUCAAGCGACGGUGGGAACAUUUUCGAUCCGGACAACAAUGCGGCAUUCUUGGAGUAGUGAGGCGCAGCGUAAGCAAACCGGCUGGAAGCACAUCUGAUCCAUCUGAUCGAGUGCGACAGAGGGCUCUUCUUGGAGAACAACUACCAUGAGAUUAUCUUAUAGCAGCUGUAAUUGUGCGGAGGUGAUCCGACCAGGAGGAAACGCUACUCUGAAGGUGUUCGAUUAUGAAAUUGGUAGCUGGUGGCCUAACAACGAUGAAGAGGAUACCGAUUGUUUCUACUUUAUUCGUGAUAAUUAUUUCAAAGAGGACUUGGCCCGCCGAUGGAAUCAGGAACUUCGGAACCAGGUCGGAAACGGAGGGUUCAAUGGCGGGCCUGGAGGACUGCGCCGGAUUACCGCAAUCGACCUUUUCCACGUUCUUCAGACGACCGAAGUUGAUUCUGGCCUUGGGACCACUCGACAAGCGAUCGUCAGGGUCGUGCCGAAUCUAAUAUAUAGGAUCUUUCCUGAUUGACGUGUGAGGCGUUUGAGCAGUAAGCUGUGCUGCUCCGGUUGCGGAUACAAAUCUACAAAUCCGUGGUCCGAUACGACAAUCGACAGUGUGACGCUGCUGCUUCCGGAAGUUAAUAAUUACAGAAUUGUUAACUACUCUACUUCACUGAAAUAAAGCUACUGUGUCCAAAGUAUAAA